AAAGAAAAAGAAGAAAAAAAAAAGGCCCCUCAUUGGCUGGGGCCUCCUUCAGUUCCUUGCCUCUAUGGAAGGACUUCUCCAUAAAGCAUCUCACAACGUGGUACCCAGCUUCCAUCAGAGCAAGCAAGCAAGGGCAUCCACAAAGGAAGACAAUCUCAUUAUAACUUAAUCUUGGAAAUUUUGUCUUGUCACUUUUGCCAUAUUCUCUUUGUUAGAAAGGAGUUACUAGGUCCAGCCUUAUACUCAAAGAAAGAGGAUACUCAAGGAAGUCCAGGAAAUUCAGACUAUUGGGGACCAUCAAAGAGGCUGCAUACCACAGCUGCCCUCUCAAUAAGAGGAGGUCCCAUAUUUUCGUUUGGCACCAGGCUCAGCGAAUUACAUAGCCAGCAAUGACCACAACCAGUCCUCCAUCCUUCUGCUGGGAACUUGGAUGCUAGAGCUCUUGCAGUCACACUGGGCCAUGAAGAUAAAGGUCACCCCCUAGGAAUG
ensembl:lncRNA LINC02928 long intergenic non-protein coding RNA 2928